GUUCAGGAAGGGAGCCAGCGCGGCGCAAUCAACAGAAAGCAGACUGGAUGGUAAAAUUAUUAUAUCACCAUACCUUGUGACUAGCUCUAGAUGGACAUGCUUGAAACUAGUUUAGCAGUUUGAGAUCUUGCCAACCUGAUAAAGCCAAUCGACAUUGUCACUUUCGAACUUGUAGUGAUACUCCUCUCUAUUGUUCCUAAUUUUUUGUGGAGAGUCUCUCAACUGAUUGGCCCUCCGACCAGCUAUGCAGUGCUGAUGCUCUUGGGCUAACCGAGGCCUCCCAGGCCCUGCUUCGACUAUCUUCUCGGCGUGGCGACGGUGACGCUCAACCUCUGCUACAUGCUCUCCGGUUAGUCCAUGAUGGGAACCAUGUUGUGCUCCUCGUGGAGUUCCAGGCGUGGUCCUAGUGGCCAGCGUGAUGGUGGGGUCAGCAGUGGUGGUUGACCUCGGCGCCACUGGAAUGGCGGUGGAGAGCCGCAGAGAAAGAGUUGGUGGUCGUCUACCAGGCUGCUGCGGGCGUCAAUGUGGAGCAAAAGUUGUUGUCUUUCCCUACCUGCAACUCCAACUUGCCGCUGGCCACAUCCCGACCUGCUACUGCUGGCCACCACGCCAGGGGCCCCCGCCUUUGUGACGACAGCUCCUUCUCUAGCACCAGGGGUGGCAAGUGACCUUGUGCGUGGGUGGUGGACGAGAUCUUGUUGGACAAGAUGAAGGUUGACAAGAAGCAGAUUGGUUAAUCCAACGAAACAAGAGAUGUUGUGCUCCAUACGCACAUCGCGGCGGAUCCCGUCAGUCUGCGCGCGCGUGAGCAAACAAGAAAAAUGUACUAGUGCUUGUACGCGCGCGGGCGGAGAAGGAUGAAUCGGCACCAGCUGUCACACCGCGGCGCGGAGCGAGCAAGAGAUACGCUGGAAUUGUACACCGGAAUGACAAGCAGGAGCGUGAUCUAUUUUACUUUACUGUCAGGUUGCACAACUUCCUCUACAAUCCCUCCCACCAAAGAAUGACUUCCGAAUUCCGUGGCACAACCAGGCAGCAAGAUUUCUUCCUAUCCACAGUGGACGGAGCACCGAAUGAAAGGGGGUCAAAGAGCAUAGAUUUCUUUUCCCGGAAAAGGUCAGAAAAGGCGUCAAAG